GACGAACGCUGGCGGCGUGCUUAACACAUGCAAGUCGAACGGAAAGGCCCUGCUUUUGUGGGGUGCUCGAGUGGCGAACGGGUGAGUUACACGUGAGUAACCUGCCCUUGACUUUGGGAUAACUUCAGGAAACUGGGGCUAAUACCGGAUAGGAGCUCCUGCUGCAUGGUGGGGGUUGGAAAGUUUCGGCGGUUGGGGAUGGACUCGCGGCUUAUCAGCUUGUUGGUGGGGUAGUGGCUUACCAAGGCUUUGACGGGUAGCCGGCCUGAGAGGGUGACCGGCCACAUUGGGACUGAGAUACGGCCCAGACUCCUACGGGAGGCAGCAGUGGGGAAUAUUGCAAAAUGGGCGGAAGCCUGAUGCAGCAACGCCGCGUGCGGGAUGACGGCCUUCGGGUUGUAAACCGCUUUCGCCUGUGACGAAGCGUGAGUGACGGUAAUGGGUAAAGAAGCACCGGCUAACUACGUG
rnacentral:rRNA from 1 species